UUUAUUGAUCAGUAGAUCAGAAAACAGAAUGAAGACUUGUCAGUUGUUAGUUCUACUGUUCCUAUGUUUUGCUGCUCUUGCUUCAGGGAAAAAGUAUCUAAUACAAACACAACAGGGUCAUAGACCUCCUGUGAAUGGAAGUGUGAAUGGAACAGAUUACACCUGGGGUUGGGGAGGAUGCUGGGGCUGUAGAGGAUGGGGAUGGGGGGGAUGGGGUGGAGGAUGGGGUGGAUGGGGAUGGGGGAAAUAGGGAGAGAAUUGGGAUGGGUACCCAUUCAUUGUAAUUUGAAAAAAGUAUCAAAAAUAUAUCUUCACAACGA